rnacentral:rRNA from 1 species
GAUUUCUGGCGAACCGUUGCGGCCCGUGGUCGUUUCGGCCGUGUGUGCCGUGUCGUGUUUGUCAUCCUUCCAGAAAGCUGCGUCUACCAUUUACUUGGCCGGACGUACGUGAUCUGGAUCGAUUACUUUGAAAAAAUUAGAGUGUUUAAAGCAGGCUUAUGCUGUGAAUACAUUAGCAUGGAAUAAUAAUUUAGGACUUCGGUUCUAUUUUGUUGGUUUCUAGGACUGAAGUAAUGAUUGAUAGGGAUAGUUGGGGGUGCUAGUAUUCAGUGGCCAGAGGUGAAAUUCUUGGAUUCACUGAAGACUAACUACUGCGAAAGCAUU